rnacentral:pre_miRNA from 1 species
AGCCUACUGUAUCCGUGCUGAGAUUUCGUCGCAAACGAGACCACAAAAGCUGAUGAGUCUCAAGAUAAGUGAAGCU